rnacentral:ncRNA from 1 species
UCAUAAGGGGUGCCCUAAAAUCACGGGCUGAGAUCAUACCCAUAUUACCUGAUCCGGGUAGUGCCGGCGAAGGGAAAUGAGC